rnacentral:rRNA from 1 species
UACGUAGGUGACAAGCGUUGUCCGGAUUUACUGGGCGUAAAGAGCGCGCAGGCGGUCGAUCAAGUCGAGUGUGAAAGCCCCCCGGCUCAACUGGGGAGGGUCAUUCGAUACUGAUCGACUCGAAGGCAGGAGAGGGUAGUGGAAUUCCCGGUGUAGUGGUGAAAUGCGUAGAUAUCGGGAGGAACACCAGUGGCGAAGGCAGCUCGCUGGGACGUGACUGACGCUGAGGAGCGAAAGCGUGGGGAUCAAACAGG